ensembl:lncRNA
AUGGGAGUAGGGAUAUGGCCACAUCAUAUGGGGGUGCUUUGGAAACUGAGGUUUCUGGUCUGGUGCUUGGUCAUCUGUAGAAGACUCCUCUGCUGGCUCAGCUGUGGGAUAACCCUUGCCAGGAUAAUGGGAGUAGGGAUAUGGCCACAUCAUAUGGGGGUGCUUUGGAAACUGAGGUUUCUGGGUUGGCACUUGGCCAUCUGCUGGAGAUUGCCCUGCUGGCUUAUCUGUGGGAUAACCCUUGCCAGGAUAAUGGGAAUAGGGAUAUGGCCACAUCAUAUGGGGGUGCUUUGGAAACUGAGGUUUCUGGGUUGGCACUUGGCCAUCUGCUGGAGAUUGCCCUGCUGGCUUAUCUGUGGGAUAACCCUUGCCAGGAUAAUGGGAAUAGGGAUAUGGCCACAUCAUAUGGGGGUGCUUUGGAAACUGAGGUUUCUGGGUUGGCACUUGGCCAUCUGCUGGAGAUUGCCCUGCUGGCUUAUCUGUGGGAUAACCCUUGCCAGGAUAAUGGGAAUAGGGAUAUGGCCACAUCAUAUGGGGGUGCUUUGGAAACUGAGGUUUCUGGGUUGGCACUUGGCCAUCUGCUGGAGAUUGCCCUGCUGGCUUAUCUGUGGGAUAACCCUUGCCAGGAUAAUGGGAAUAGGGAUAUGGCCACAUCAUAUGGGGGUGCUUUGGAAACUGAGGUUUCUGGGUUGGCACUUGGCCAUCUGCUGGAGAUUGCCCUGCUGGCUUAUCUGUGGGAUAACCCUUGCCAGGAUAAUGGGAAUAGGGAUAUGGCCACAUCAUAUGGGGGUGCUUUGGAAACUGAGGUUUCUGGGUUGGCACUUGGCCAUCUGCUGGAGAUUGCCCUGCUGGCUUAUCUGUGGGAUAACCCUUGCCAGGAUAAUGGGAAUAGGGAUAUGGCCACAUCAUAUGGGGGUGCUUUGGAAACUGAGGUUUCUGGGUUGGCACUUGGCCAUCUGCUGGAGAUUGCCCUGCUGGCUUAUCUGUGGGAUAACCCUUGCCAGGAUAAUGGGAAUAGGGAUAUGGCCACAUCAUAUGGGGGUGCUUUGGAAACUGAGGUUUCUGGGUUGGCACUUGGCCAUCUGCUGGAGAUUGCCCUGCUGGCUUAUCUGUGGGAUAACCCUUGCCAGGAUAAUGGGAAUAGGGAUAUGGCCACAUCAUAUGGGGGUGCUUUGGAAACUGAGGUUUCUGGGUUGGCACUUGGCCAUCUGCUGGAGAUUGCCCUGCUGGCUUAUCUGUGGGAUAACCCUUGCCAGGAUAAUGGGAAUAGGGAUAUGGCCACAUCAUAUGGGGGUGCUUUGGAAACUGAGGUUUCUGGGUUGGCACUUGGCCAUCUGCUGGAGAUUGCCCUGCUGGCUUAUCUGUGGGAUAACCCUUGCCAGGAUAAUGGGAAUAGGGAUAUGGCCACAUCAUAUGGGGGUGCUUUGGAAACUGAGGUUUCUGGGUUGGCACUUGGCCAUCUGCUGGAGAUUGCCCUGCUGGCUUAUCUGUGGGAUAACCCUUGCCAGGAUAAUGGGAAUAGGGAUAUGGCCACAUCAUAUGGGGGUGCUUUGGAAACUGAGGUUUCUGGGUUGGCACUUGGCCAUCUGCUGGAGAUUGCCCUGCUGGCUUAUCUGUGGGAUAACCCUUGCCAGGAUAAUGGGAAUAGGGAUAUGGCCACAUCAUAUGGGGGUGCUUUGGAAACUGAGGUUUCUGGGUUGGCACUUGGCCAUCUGCUGGAGAUUGCCCUGCUGGCUUAUCUGUGGGAUAACCCUUGCCAGGAUAAUGGGAAUAGGGAUAUGGCCACAUCAUAUGGGGGUGCUUUGGAAACUGAGGUUUCUGGGUUGGCACUUGGCCAUCUGCUGGAGAUUGCCCUGCUGGCUUAUCUGUGGGAUAACCCUUGCCAGGAUAAUGGGAAUAGGGAUAUGGCCACAUCAUAUGGGGGUGCUUUGGAAACUGAGGUUUCUGGGUUGGCACUUGGCCAUCUGCUGGAGAUUGCCCUGCUGGCUUAUCUGUGGGAUAACCCUUGCCAGGAUAAUGGGAAUAGGGAUAUGGCCACAUCAUAUGGGGGUGCUUUGGAAACUGAGGUUUCUGGGUUGGCACUUGGCCAUCUGCUGGAGAUUGCCCUGCUGGCUUAUCUGUGGGAUAACCCUUGCCAGGAUAAUGGGAAUAGGGAUAUGGCCACAUCAUAUGGGGGUGCUUUGGAAACUGAGGUUUCUGGGUUGGCACUUGGCCAUCUGCUGGAGAUUGCCCUGCUGGCUUAUCUGUGGGAUAACCCUUGCCAGGAUAAUGGGAAUAGGGAUAUGGCCACAUCAUAUGGGGGUGCUUUGGAAACUGAGGUUUCUGGGUUGGCACUUGGCCAUCUGCUGGAGAUUGCCCUGCUGGCUUAUCUGUGGGAUAACCCUUGCCAGGAUAAUGGGAAUAGGGAUAUGGCCACAUCAUAUGGGGGUGCUUUGGAAACUGAGGUUUCUGGGUUGGCACUUGGCCAUCUGCUGGAGAUUGCCCUGCUGGCUUAUCUGUGGGAUAACCCUUGCCAGGAUAAUGGGAAUAGGGAUAUGGCCACAUCAUAUGGGGGUGCUUUGGAAACUGAGGUUUCUGGGUUGGCACUUGGCCAUCUGA